GAUGAAUGCUGGCGGCGUGCCUAACACAUGCAAGUCGAGCGAACGGACGAGCCGCUUGCUUCUUUCAUGUUAGCGGCGGACGGGUGAGUAACGCGUGGAUAACCUACCUGUACGACUGGGAUAACUUCGGGAAGCCGGCGCUUAUACCGGAUAAUAUUUUGAACCGCAUGGUUCUAAGGUGAAAGCCGGUCUUCCUGUCCCUUAUCGAUGGAUCCCCGCUGCUUUAGCUAGUUGGUAAGGUACCGGCUUACUAAGGCAACGAUACAUAGCCGACCUAAGAGGGGGCCAGGCCACAUUGGAAGUGAGACACGGCCCAGACUCCUGCGGGAGGGAGCAGUAGGGAACUGGGAGCAAUGGGCGAAAGUCUUAAGCAACCAUGCGGAGUGAGUGAGGAAGGUCCUCGGAUCGUAAAACACUCUUAGCAGUGAAGAACAUAUGUGUAAUUAACUGUGCACAUCUUGACGGUACCCAGGCAAAAAGCCACGGCUAACUUCGUG
rnacentral:rRNA from 1 species